ACAGCCAGGAUGUUGGCUUAGAAGCAGCCAUCAUUUAAAGAAAGCGUAAUAGCUCACUGGUCGAGUCGGCCUGCGCGGAAGAUGUAACGGGGCUAAACCAUGCACCGAAGCUGCGGCAGCGACACUGUGUGUUGUUGGGUAGGGGAGCGUUCUGUAAGCCUGUGAAGGUGUGUCGUGAGGCAUGCUGGAGGUAUCAGAAGUGCGAAUGCUGACAUAAGUAACGAUAAAGCGGGUGAAAAGCCCGCUCGCCGGAAGACCAAGGGUUCCUGUCCAACGUUAAUCGGGGCAGGGUGAGUCGACCCCUAAGGCGAGGCCGAAAGGCGUAGUCGAUGGGAAACGGGUUAAUAUUCCCGUACUUGGUGUUACUGCGAAGGGGGGACGGAGAAGGCUAUGUUGGCCGGGCGACGGUUGUCCCGGUUUAAGCGUGUAGGUGUGUGUUCCAGGUAAAUCCGGUUCACUUUAACACUGAGGCGUGACGACGAGGCACUACGGUGCUGAAGCAACAAAUGCCCUGCUUCCAGGAAAAGCCUCUAAGCAUCAGGUAACAUCAAAUCGUACCCCAAACCGACACAGGUGGUCAGGUAGAGAAUACCAAGGCGCUUGAGAGAACUCGGGUGAAGGAACUAGGCAAAAUGGUGCCGUAACUUCGGGAGAAGGCACGCUGACACGUAGGUGAAGUGAUUUACUCAUGGAGCUGAAGUCAGUCGAAGAUACCAGCUGGCUGCAACUGUUUAUUAAAAACACAGCACUGUGCAAACACGAAAGUGGACGUAUACGGUGUGACGCCUGCCCGGUGCCGGAAGGUUAAUUGAUGGGGUCAGCGCAAGCGAAGCUCCUGAUCGAAGCCCCGGUAAACGGCGGCCGUAACUAUAACGGUCCUAAGGUAGCGAAAUUCCUUGUCGGGUAAGUUCCGACCUGCACGAAUGGCGUAAUGAUGGCCAGGCUGUCUCCACCCGAGACUCAGUGAAAUUGAACUCGCUGUGAAGAUGCAGUGUACCCGCGGCAAGACGGAAAGACCCCGUGAACCUUUACUAUAGCUUGACACUGAACAUUGAGCCUUGAUGUGUAGGAUAGGUGGGAGGCUUUGAAGUGUGGACGCCAGUCUGCAUGGAGCCGACCUUGAAAUACCACCCUUUAAUGUUUGAUGUUCUAACGUGGACCCGUUACCCGGGUUGCGGACAGUGUCUGGUGGGUAGUUUGACUGGGGCGGUCUCCUCCUAAAGAGUAACGGAGGAGCACGAAGGUUGGCUAAUCCUGGUCGGACAUCAGGAGGUUAGUGCAAUGGCAUAAGCCAGCUUGACUGCGAGCGUGACGGCGCGAGCAGGUGCGAAAGCAGGUCAUAGUGAUCCGGUGGUUCUGAAUGGAAGGGCCAUCGCUCAACGGAUAAAAGGUACUCCGGGGAUAACAGGCUGAUACCGCCCAAGAGUUCAUAUCGACGGCGGUGUUUGGCACCUCGAUGUCGGCUCAUCACAUCCUGGGGCUGAAGUAGGUCCCAAGGGUAUGGCUGUUCGCCAUUUAAAGUGGUACGCGAGCUGGGUUUAGAACGUCGUGAGACAGUUCGGUCCCUAUCUGCCGUGGGCGCUGGAGAACUGAGGGGGGCUGCUCCUAGUACGAGAGGACCGGAGUGGACGCAUCACUGGUGUUCGGGUUGUCAUGCCAAUGGCACUGCCCGGUAGCUAAAUGCGGAAGAGAUAAGUGCUGAAAGCAUCUAAGCACGAAACUUGCCCCGA
rnacentral:rRNA from 1 species